rnacentral:rRNA from 1 species
AUUUAAAUAAUUUUUGGUAUCUUCUGCUCAAUGAAUCAAAACUAAAUUGCCGCAGUACACUACUGUGCUAAGGUAGCAUAAUCACUUGUCUAUUAAUUGUAGACUAGAAUGAAUGAAUAAAUGAGAUUUUUUCUGUUUCAUAUUAUAACUUAAAAUUUUAUUUUAGGGUGAAGAAGCCCUAAUAAUCUCGUUAGACAAGAAGACCCUACAGAGCUUAAAUAAUUAUAGAUUACUUAUCUAACUAAAAUUUGAUUGGGAUGAUCCAGAUACUUACUAAUCUAUCUUUAUAUAUAAGGUUAAUAAACCAAAUCUUGAACCAUUUUCUAUGAUCAAAAAUAUAAGCUACCUUAGGGAUAACAGGCUAAUCUUUCUCUAGAGUCCCAAUCCAAAGAAAGGAUUUGUACCUCGAUGUUGGCUUAUAUUAUAUUUAUUUAGUGCAAAAGCUAAAAACAAUAGAUUUGUUCAAUC